GUCAUUUUAACAAACUGCCUGAAUCUGAUAUCCAGGAAAAUUGUUAAUCUGCUUGGCAUUUGUGGGCCAAAUCCAGGCUAAGGCUCAAAAUAUUGGAAGCCGAAAUGGAAAUAAAAAGCAACAAAGAGACCAGUGAUGAAGGUAAGCCAGGAUUAUGGCAAGAUAGGCAGUGAAGGAAGUCCCUGGGUAGUGCAAGUAGUUGGUUAAUGUGGUAGGCUGCUAACCAAAAAGUUGGAGGUUCUAAUCCACCCAGAAAUACCUUUCAGCCAUUGAAAACGCUAUGGAGUACAGUUCUCCUCUGACACACAUGGGAUUGCCAUGAGUCAGAAUUGACUAGACAGCAGCUGGUGGUAGGCAGGUAAGAGAACACUUCACCAAUGAGACCUUUCUCUUUGUUGAUUCAUUCAAUAUUCAACAAAUAUUUACUGAGCUCCUACUAAGCCCCAAAUACCACUGAAGGCUUUGCAGAUACAGCAGCAAACUUGGAAGUGAGGAUGGUUUCAGGCAGGAAAUAUCUCACAACAGGUGCUUCCUUUGUAUGUUGACAAAGCCAACAAGUGGCUUCCCAGGGUUUGACCCAUUCAGGAUAUGGGGGCAGGAGAAGAUAUUUACAUAAAAAGAUAAUAGUUUCAGGGGAGGGUGUAUCUAUGAGAAUGGAGACAGGUCCUAGAAACUUUUUAAAAUGCAUUUACAGCUGUUCCUAGUUCAACUGAAUGCCUUAAAAUACUUGUUUACCCAUUGCUUGUGACUCUAGGCUCAGUGUAAAAGCCUGGGUGCCAGUGUGGAAGGGCAAGGUUUGAUGAUAGCUUUUAUAGACUGCCUCGUUUUUCUAAUCCGUUUUUUUUAAAGCCUUUUUAGUGCAGUCAUGUGCCUCACUAGGAUAAAACAGUACAUAUUUAUUUUAAAAUGAGAUAUGGAAUUCUGCUCCGGAAACUUCCAACAAACUUCAAACGAUUUUUCUUUAUAUGGAGAUUGUUUCGGAGAAGAGAAACUUGUAAGGUAGCGUGGGGGGUGAGGGGUGGGAUGGGUAGAGGGGUGAGAGGAUGAGGGGUGGGAGUGGGAAGGAAGUUUUCUUCGCUGGCAGGAGGGAAGGCAGGUUGAUUUGGGGAUAAACUAUAAAGGCCCUGUGUCUGUGAUAGCCGGGGGGAGGAAGUAGCCACAGUGUGCCUGCCUCUAGAACAUUGUAAAAGUUUUGGCCUACAAAUCCAGUUAGUUUACUCUAUCUGUGUGAUUGAAAGUCCAAUUUGGGAUCCCAUGGUUGUUAGCUGCAGGGGAGCUGGACCCCUACUCAUAGUGACCCCGUGUAUGACAGAGUAAAACUGCUCCGUAGGGUUUUCUUGGCUGUAGUCUUCAUGGAAGCAGAUAGCCAGGUCUUGUCUUCCACAAAGCUGUCAGGUGGGUUUGAACCCCCAACCUUUAGGUUCACAGCCAAUUGUAAAAUGCUUGAGCCAUCCAGGUUCACUUUAAGAUCCCAUUGGACUCAUGUAACCCAUGUAUAUUCACAUCAGUGGUGUAUUGCUGUGGAAUCUUUUUAUGAGUCUUUGGCAGAGACUGCCAUUCUGGACUCUGAAGAGUUCAUAAGAAUGUUUCCUAUUUCAAUCACCCGCAUUUCAAAAGGGAGGGACGUAGAGGUAAAGGCUGCCAUGAGAAAUUGUUUGGAAUCUGGAUUUGUGAGAAAAUUAGAAAUGCAAUUUUUAAAUGAAAUAAUAACAAAGCAAAAUAUUAAGGCAUCUGAGGCAGCUCCAUUUCUGUGACUGCCAACGGUUUCUCUUGGAGAUUAUGAUAUCUGAUGCUGGAUCCACAAAUGUUUUGCACUUACUCAGCAUUUAAAGGUAAGAGGUUGUGAAACUCCAAAUGAACCAGAGAAAAAAGAAGGCAAAGGGCUGAGUUUGAGUGAGUAAAGGAAGAUAAAUCAGAUGAGAUUGCAUGUUGAUGACACUCGCCAGGGUUGCUCAAUAACAAUAUCUGACAAACAGCAAGAGAAAAAGGAAACAUUUUGGCAGAGUCAGCCACCCCCAACAUCUCUCUUCAAAACCCUACUAAGAAAUCCCCACCGCUGGAUGAGUUAUUUCCUCUUUCUGCAUUAUGAGUACAAUGGGAAAAAAAAUAGGCCCUAGAGCAGAAAUAUUGAACUUAGGAAAUACUGGCAUGAAUAAUAGUAUAAGAAUGAACUAGACGGAAAGGCCUAAAGGCAGGGCUCUUCCAUCUAGAAGGCUUGGACAUAGUAAAGUCCAUCUUGGUACAGUGGAUACUUGGACAGUCUUUUUUGGCUGCUUAGUAUUUCUUUAAGAAUUGUUGUAUUAAAAAGAAAUCUCUACCACCGCUACUUCCGCAUGUUUCUCUUCUCUGCAACAAUCUCCAUAUGAAGACCAGGCAGUAUUUUGUUCUGUUAUACAUAGGGUCUCUAUGAGUUGGCAUUGACUCGACAGCACCUAACAACAACGACAGGAUUUCUUGCAGGACUUCCUGGGUGGUGCAGUUAACACGCUCAGUUGCUACACUGUUAACCUAAAGAUUGGAGCUUCGAGUCCAUCUAGAGGUGUCUUGGAAGACAGGCCUGGUGACCUAUUUCUGAUGAAUCAGCCAUCGAAAAUGCUAUGGAGUACAGUUUUACUCUGACACUCAUGGGGUCGCCACGAGUUGGAAUCAACUCUGUGGAAAUUGCUUUUUAAAAAAAAAUUUUAUGGUCUCUUUAUACUUCAUUUUGAUCAUUUUUUUCCUUCUGCCUGGAUUCCAACUGAAACAGUACCUUCUCCUACCCUACUCUCUGGCCCUGCCAUAUCUGCUUAGGAAAAACUCUUAUGCUUUCUUUAAAACCAAAAACCUGUUGCCAUUUAGUUGAUUCUGACUCAUAGUGACCCUGUAAGACAGAGUAGAACUGCUCAAUAGGGUUUCCAAGGAGCAUCUGGUGGAUUCGAGCUGCUGACCUUUUGGGUAGCAGCUAUAGCUCUUAGCCACUACGCCACCAGGGUUUCUUUAAAGCCCAACUUAAAUCCAUCUUUCCUCCAAGAAAACAUCUCAGUUCUCCUGUUUCAGAACUUACCUCUUUUUUUCUUUUCUUCCCUUAAUGAAUAUCUUUAGCCCUUUAUUUAAUUAAUCACAGUGGCCUUUAUAUUCAAGUUAUAUAUGUAUUUUCUGUCUUCUCUAUUGAAGUCUUCUUCAAGUCAAUGGGGCAGACAGAAAUGAGGGUGAAGAGCUUGUCUUGAACAUCUUUAUAUCUCUUAUAACAUUUACUCAGUGACAUGUGGGUUAUAAUAAGCCAAUAUAACAAGUCAGUGUUUAUAGCCUUGAAGUAUAAACCAACACUUCAUAAUUAUAACAGGGAUUAGCAAAAGCCUGGGCAACAGUCUUUUAGCUCUUUUUCUUGGAGAUAAAACUAAUCAGCCUCCAUCUUGUUGUACCUUGUUAUGCAGAAUUCAUAUGAAAUAAACAAGGGCAUUUAUUUAUUUUUAAACCUUAGAGGGAUACAUUACUAUUAUUAUUUUAGAAUUAUUGGAUUAAAAAGACAAAAAGGAAUUGAUUCUACUUAUCUUUAAGUGCCUUAGAGGCAUGAGGCCAUGAGGUUGGCUUGUUGGCUUCAGAUUCGGGCUGUAGGCAUUCCUAGAGCAUUCUCAAUCCUGCCUUCCUUGUAGAGAAACCUGUUAUUUAAACAAAUCUCUAUGUCUUAAAAAAUAAGCAGAAUGGCCUUCACUUGACCCUACAGUUCUCACUUUUUGGCACUCCAGAGCCUCUCAAAUGCCUGGUUCGUGCCUGUUGGCUACACUUCCUAGAUACGCCUUCCUUUCCUAACUCUUUGCAACUAAUUGGCUUUGCUCUUCAUCACACUCCAGAAACACUUCUCUAAAAGGUUCACCUCUGCCAGCUCCUCAUUUGGAUUUUCUCAUGAUCCAGCAGCCCUGUACUUGUGGGGUGAAGAGUAAUGAGAGUUCAAAUAACAAGGACACCCUGGGCUCAAAAUAAUUGUUGAAUUGAGUCAAAUUCAUCUUGCCUGAAUCAGUUCUCAGCCUAUAAAUGUAGUAGUUGUUGGGAGCCUACAGACUUUGGACUGCCCAUAGAUCAUCAACUAAAUACUCUUCUAACCACUUUGGUGUGCAUGAAUAGAGCUGAAAGCAUUCCAGAAUCACUGGAAUGUUAAAUCUCCAAUCCGAAGACCUGCUUGAAGGCUUAUAAUUACCUCCAUCGUAAGACCUUUCAACAGAUCUAAGAAGUUGUAUAAUUUUGAUUCGAGAUGGGCUAAGAAGAUGGUAAAACUGAAUGAGACUUGGGUUCCAGGCCUGUUCUAUUAUUGCUAUAUUAUAUUUUUUGAGGGGGAGGGGGAUUAAUUUAGCUUUUGUAGACCUCAAGUACAAAGAUAUCACCUUUGUUUCUUUCUUUAUAUUUUAGGUAUAACAGGUCAGUGGGAGAAGAUAAAAGUGUUUGCUAACCACCUCUUCCUCCAUCUACAUAUAUAUGGCCACAUAGUUGAAUAACAUUAUUUGCAAAGUAUAGCAGCAUUUCAAGACACCAAUUAAUAGAUGUUUUCCUGGGUACAGAAAAGAACAAAGGCUUUUUUCUUACUCUUUGUUUCUUUAAUAUAUUGUUCAUAUGUUUGUGUGAGGGGUUUUUUUCUUUUUCUCUUACUGGUUUUUUAUCGUUGGACAUAUUUUUUGAUUACUUCUGUAUUUUUCUUCCCACUGGAUUGCAAACUCCUUAAGGACAAGGACUUUGCCUUAUUUUGUUUUAUGUCCCCAGGAUCUAACACAGGACUCCAUAAAUGUUUGUUAUAUUUUUCUUUAAUCGAAGCAGAAAUGAAGAACCUGGUUUAGAAGGAAGGAAAUGGUACCUUAUUGCAGUGGAAGUGAAAUGAGGUUGUACUAAGUUUGCAAGGACAGGAACUAAAGCAAGGUUAAUUAGUGGAAGGCAGGGCACAGGGGCAGGUUCCCUGUGGUGUUUUAUGAAAGGGGCAGAGGCCAAAGUACAGCAGCUAUUCCACUGGAAAAACAAAUAAACAAGCUGGAACAUUCUUGCCUGAGCACCUGUAAACUUGGAGUCUUUGAGCAGUUCAGUUAGAUGUUCUAGGUUAGUGGCAAGGUCAUAACUCACCUGUGUAUUCUCAGAAGAUUUUUUAAUUUAUACUCUUUCAAAAAUUCUUCUUAGGAAAUGAUACUUUCUAACCAAGUGUUAAUGAAGUUUAGUUGGUGACCAGUACAAAGUGAUAGAACCUCCGCUCUGAGGAGAGUUUAUCACAUCAGAAAUUUUCAAUGACCAACAAAAGAGGGCGAGAAGGUUUUCUGGAAGCAACGUGUCUACAGAACGUAUUCACAAAGCUCUGAAGAAAGAAAAGCUUAAUUAGACAGAUGAUCCAUUUCCUGAACAGGCAUAUACAGGUGUUGGAUUAAUUCUCAUUUCCUCCCAAAGAGGCAUGAUAACUAUAAUGAUUAGCACUCACUGUUUCGGGGCUUUCUCUAGUUUAUUUUCACUUGGCAGGAUAAGAGGGAGGUGAUUCUAUUGCUUUUGGGUUCAGUCCUGUUAGUCAUGAAUGUUGGAUUUCUCCCACACAGAAUAUGUGUUAAACUGAGCCCCAGAUUAUCUCAGUGUGGCUUGCUCUUGGUUAAGCUAUAAUCAUUUUGGCCAGAUGGUUGUUUUAAGCCAUCUCUCUCUGCUUUUAGUGGCUCAGGGAACACAUACUAAUUUUGAUCCCAACUAAUCCACGCUUGAUUAGGAAAGGAAAUAGGAAGCUACUACAUAAAAUCAAGAAAUUCCUGCCAAAGUCAAAUGCAUCCUUUUUUCAGUAUUUUAUUGAUAAUUUCCCAUUUGGUUUAUUCAUGUCACCUUGAUCCAUUCAUUUCAGGGUUUGUUAUAUUGGAAGUUAAUGAAUAAUAUCAUCAAUAUAAAAAAGCUAACACUGACUUGGAAGAUCAGAGAGUUGAGAGCCCUUUCUGAAGGGUAUGGGCCUUAUUAGCUUCCGUUUCUCAGUGCUUCUGCUUCUCUGAAAUAAGGAAGUUUGUAGGUCUUACUUAGUUUUCUUGUGCUCAUUUGUCUUUUCUUUGGUGUUUUACAAUGCAGAGUCAUCAAAACCCUUCCCAUUUCACCACUGCACAGACAUGGUGUGACCAUCAAGAAAAGAAAUCUUUUUAUUCUUUGUGGGCUUCCAGGAAUCCUAGUUGUUAAAUCACUUUACAAGUUAUUGAUUUGAGUUAUUUUGACAUACUUUUAAACAGUUGGCAGGGUAGUUACAAAUGGCCAAUCUUACUAGAGUUGUUCUUUCAGUAGUCAAGUUUAGUGAAGUAUUAGACUCAAUGAAGUUUAAAAACAGAUCAGAUAUUGGAAAGAAGGGUAAAUUAAGCACCAAGUUUCAUUUAAAUGGAAGUAUAAGAAGAUUGUAUAAAGAAAAAUUGUAAACAUUUCCCUUUUAAACCAGAAGUUAAUUACUGUAUUUUACACAAAUGGUGCGUACCUUCUACACUUAUUUGCCAACUGUGCCCUCCUCCAGCAAGGUGUUUUUGUAAGAACACCAUGCUAAUUAUUUUUACAACAACAUGUGGAAAAAUCAGCAUAGCAGUAUUUAUGAAAAUACCUUGCAAGGGGAGGGUGCGGUUAGCAAAUGUAGAAGUUGUGUGUUAUUUGCGUAAAAAUACAGUAAAGAUUUUUUUUUAAAGAGUAGUGGAGUGAAACACUGAUGAAGAUGAGAUUUCGAUGUCUACUACAUAAGGCAAUGCAAUCUGGGAGACAGGAAAUUGGCAAACUUCCUUGAGUAAUCACACAGAGUCAGUCUGAUCUGCAAUAUAUUUAGUUUAGAAAAGGAACCCUUCUACCACUAAACAAUUAAGCUCAAUGUCAGCAUCUAAAUAUUUGUAAGUGAUUUUUUAGUGUUCUUAUAUGGUUUUGAGAAGUUUAGACCUGCCAAAGUCAUAUAUAGUAGAUAUAGGUAAUAAAUUAAAAAAAAUCACCAUGGGCAGAGUCAUAAAGAGGAAAAUUACUCCAAGAAUUACAAAUGAUCUCAAUUAACUUAUAUUUAGAGGUUAGGGAAAGGAAGCCAGGAAAUGUAUAAAACUCAACUUUUAGCGGAACUAAAUUUUAACACUGCUCUUUUUUCUGUUUCUUCUCUGCUCCACAUACCAUUAUGCCAUUGAUUUGCUCACACACACACAAGGUUAUUUCAGGGGAGAUGUUUAGUAGAGGUCCAAACAGCAGUCACAGGCCAAAUCUUAUCAUUAACUGUGUUUUGUCUGGCUGUACACAGUGUUUAAAUUUUUUUUUAAUAAAUUUAUCUUGGACACUAAAAAAAAAAAAAAAAAACCCAAAUGCAUUGCUGUCGAGUUGAUACCAACUCAUGAUGACCAUACGGUUUUCUUGGCUGUAAUCUUUACAGAAGCAGAUCACCAGGACUUCCCUCUGCAGUGACGCUAGGUGGGUUUGAACCACCAAGCUUUAGUUUCUUUUAGAAAAAUAAUCAAAACUCAAAGAAAUUGAAACAUAAGGUUUAUUUGAGAGCUACUGUACAUGCGUAUAGGGAGACCAUUCUGAUUAAAAAACAAAACAAAACAAAUGGCUUCAAGUAGUCUAGUUACAAUGAGGACAAUCAAAAGGAGAGGAGGGAGAAGAAUAGAAGACCAACCAUUGGCUAAUCUUAAUGCGAUGGAUAGAAGCCUGCCCUCUAUCUUUUACUGAGAUUAGCUGAUAUCAGGUUACCAGGUGGUCUCUAGCCUGGCUGCUAAAAUUUGGCCCUCCACCCACUUGAAGCCCUGAGACCUUUUGAAGUUGAAAUUAAGUAAGUCUAGAGUCUUUUUCAUUAGAUCAUGACAUAAUGGGUUUGUUGCUGACUAUCCUUUUUUAGCAGGAAAAGACAAAUGUACAUUGUUGUAGAGCAGCUUCUGGUUAAAAAAAAAAAAAGUCAAUGCUUUAGAAGUUUGGGUCGGGCUUUUUAAGGUUAAUAUUUGGUUUCAUUGGGUGAAAAAAAAAAGCCUUAAAAUUAAAGUAAGAUGUCUGUUUUUAGUUUUUCUUUUUGACAUCUCUCCCCUUCCCAUCAUGAUUCAGUAAGAAUCUUUGAUCAGCUAAGUACUGGCCUGGCACCAUCUAAGUUUUUUUCAGUCUCGGUAAUUAUAUGUCAUUUCUGUUGGUUCCUUAGCUUCUUUUCUUCAUUGUUCGUCUAGUUGGAAGAAGACUCUUUCCUGUAUCUUAGAUGGCCACUCGGAAAGCUUUUAAGACACCAGAUACCAAACAGCUUAGUAGCUUAAUAAUAAUAUAAAAGGUCAAAAUGAAUACAACAGGUAAACCAACGGUGUGAAAGGCUUGUCUGGCCCACAAGCCCCAAUUUCCUAACCAUGAAAACAAGUUGCAAGAAAAUGUAAGAGAAGAAUCUGUAGCAUGUGUCGCAUGCCUAGCCUGAAUUUCUGCUAAAAUUAUGUCUCAAUAUGCUUCCAAUUAGGUGUCAUUAAUAUAUGCACAACAAUUUGCUUUUUCCAAAGUACAAAUUGCUCCUUGGAAAGCAGGUAAAGAAUCAAGAGCUAAUCUAUUUUAUGAUGUAGUUAUCUUUCUCUGUGCUAUUUCAGAGAGUAGCAUCACCUAGAUUAUUAAGAGUCAUCUUGUCUAACAUCAUCUGUGACCUUAAACAUAUAUACACACACACACACACAAAUAUAUAGGUAUUAUACAGUUUAAACCAAUUUCAGCAGCUAAAGGUAUCAUAGUGGUUAUAGAACAGUCAAUUAAUGCUCUCUGUAUCAAUGGACACAGAUUAAACCUUAAGUUUCUGGCUAGGGGUGGAAACAUUUUCCCCACUUUGGGUGUGUUCUCAAUGUGAUUUUUAUCAUUUGGCUUUUAAAAAUACCUCUACAAUGCAGUGUUUGUUUAUGGUUUUUUAAUGAUGGGCAUCCACUCAAUUUCUGGUAACUGUACUAAAACAGCGUUUGUCCUGUUUUAACUUCAAUGUCCACUAUAUUUAUUUUUUAAAAUACCUUUAAAAGAUCUACAUACCAUUGGGAGGAGUCCUGUGGUUUUUUCUUUACUAUUCUCUUGGUAAGCAGUUUAGCCUUCUCUUCCUUAACUUUUCUUUAUAGAUAAAUCCAUGAGAUCUUAGCUAACUUUUUUCCAUCUAGGUUUGCCUU